GGAGAAGAUGAAUGAAACAAAACGUGAAAGUGUCGGGGGGAUUCCGGCCGCUCCGAUUCCCAUCACGGUGUCAUAUUUCCGAAGAAGAGCACCGAGGAAUGAAUACGUGCUGAAUCAAAGGCAAAAAAGUUCAAAU
ensembl:ncRNA F57F10.3 ncRNA